UAAGUACUCCCUCCGUGCAAAAAUACUUGUCAAAAAAUGGAUGUAUGUAGACAUGUUUUAUUUUUAGAUACAUCCAUUUUUAUUCAUUUCGGUGACAAGUAAUUCCGGACGGAGGGAAUACCUU
rfam:Triticum aestivum genome assembly, contig: Triticum_aestivum_CS42_TGACv1_scaffold_225713_3B